GUAAAGUCUCUCAGUCUCCAUCAGCUAUCAGUCCACAGCAGAACAUCAGUCAGACAUCAGAUCAGAAACAGACUGAUUAUGGCUUCACUCCACUGCAGUCUGGAGACGCUCAUAUUUAUGACUCUGUUGAUGCAACGGACAAUAAAGUCGCAAGCUCAGUGACUCAGGCCGGCUCCAGUGAUGCCAUGUAUUAUAAGGUCAACUUCAAGAAAAAUAAUCUCAAGAGCAAAGGUAGAAACAACUAGUAGAGUAAAACUAAAGACUGAGAGAAGAAAACUCUUAAUCAUUUCUUUAUUCUUCAUUGUAGACAAUGAAAGUGAAUCCGCUGAUCUCACCUAUGCUGAUAUUGAACUGAAACCUAAGAAAGAAAUGAAGAAAAAGAAAGAAAAGAAAGGGAAUACCAGUGAAGGUGGUGACACUGUUUACUCUAAAGUGAAGAUGGGAGAUAAAGAUGUGGCUUCUGGAUCUGUUGAUGUGACUUAUGCUCAGAUUACAUAAAAGCCCAGAGGAGAAAAAGAUGGCAGUACAUUAACUAAUGGUUAAAGGAAAAUACCACCGUUUUUCAAUAUUUUACUAUGUUCUUCCCUCUUAACUUAGACAAAUGAAUACAUAACUCUCUUUUUUUCAAUAC